GCGAUGACUUUGACAGCGCAUUUGCUAAAAGUGAAACAAAACAGAUUAGCAUGGCCCCUGUACAAAGAAUAUAAGCAAAUUUGCGAAGUUUUUAUAAUAAAA